rnacentral:rRNA from 1 species
AACGAACGCUGGCGGCAUGCCUAACACAUACAAGUCGAACGAGACCUUCGGGUCUAGUGGCGCACGGGUGCGUAACGCGUGGGAACCUGCCCUUAGGUUCGGAAUAACUCCCCGAAAGGGGUGCUAAUACCGGAUAAUGUCUUCGGACCAAAGAUUUAUCGCCUUUGGAUGGGCCCGCGUUGGAUUAGCUAGUUGGUAGGGUAAAAGCCUACCAAGGCGACGAUCCAUAGCUGGUCUGAGAGGAUGAUCAGCCACACUGGGACUGAGACACGGCCCAGACUCCGACGGAAGGGAGCAGUGGGGAAUAUUGGACACUGAGCGAUAGCGUGAUCCAGCCAUGCCGCGUGAGUGAUGCAGGCCUUAGGAUUGUACAGCUCUUUUACCCGGGAUGAUAAUGACAGUACCGGGAGAAUAAGCUCCGGCUAACUCCGUG